CCUACGGGAGGCAGCAGUGGGGAAUAUUGGACAAUGGGCGAAAGCCUGAUCCAGCAAUGCCGCGUGAGUGAAGAAGGCCUUCGGGUUGUAAAGCUCUUUUACCCGGGAAGAUAAUGACUGUACCGGGAGAAUAAGCCCCGGCUAACUCCGUGCCAGCAGCCGCGGUAAUACGGAGGGGGCUAGCGUUGUUCGGAAUUACUGGGCGUAAAGCGUACGUAGGCGGCUUUGUAAGUCAGAGGUGAAAGCCCACGACUCAAUCGUGGAACUGCCUUUGAGACUGCUUCGCUUGAAGAUGGGAGAGGUUAGUGGAAUUCCGAGUGUAGAGGUGAAAUUCGUAGAUAUUCGGAAGAACACCAGUGGCGAAGGCGGCUAACUGGACCAUUCUUGACGCUGAGGUACGAAAGCGUGGGGAGCAAACAGGAUUAGAUACCCUGGCAGUCCACGCCGUAAACGAUGAUAACUAGCUGUCGGGGCUCUUGGAGCUUCGGUGGCGCAGCUACGACAUUAAGUUAUUCCGUCCGUCGGGGUAGGUACGGGUCCGGCGAACGGUUAAACCGUUAACAAUAGUAAUUAGUACGGCGUGAGACGUCGCCGACGGACGACGACGAGGGAGUAGG
rnacentral:rRNA from 1 species